ensembl:lncRNA
GUUGGAAGUAAGAAGCAGGAAGCCUGUGUUCCUGUUUAUAGUUGUCAAGAGCUCUAGAGUGAAUCAAGCCAUCCAGCUGAUGUAUCAGUGGAGGCACUGCUUUCUAUUGUGCAAGGAGACGCAACCUGCAAAUGUCUAGCUUGACUGGCUUUACCAAGGGACUUCAAGAGAAUGGAAGAUGGAGUAGUGACAGUUUUGUGUGUACAGAGGACAUGGAGCCUGUGCUAAAUUUCCUUCGGGAUCAAUAAGGUAUCUAUCUAUCUACCUAUCUAUCUACCUAUCUAUCUAUCUCUAUUCAGAUCUGUACGUGUUGCUGAACUAUACUCAGAUCAGUAUGUAUUCUUCUCUGAGCAGUAUAUAUUAAAUACUCUGAUCAGUAUAUAUCGCUGUUUAGAUUAAUAUGUACUGUGCUCAGAUUAUUAUGCAGAUUAUGUUGCUGUAGAGCUGCC